UACUCUACGGGAGGCAGCAGUGGGAAAUCUUCCGCAAUGGACGAAAGUCUGACGGAGCAACGCCGCGUGAGUGAUGACGGCCUUCGGGUUGUAAAGCUCUGUUAAUCGGGACGAAAGGCCUUCUUGCGAAUAGUUAGAAGGAUUGACGGUACCGGAAUAGAAAGCCACGGCUAACUACGUGCCAGCAGCCGCGGUAAUACGUAGGUGGCAAGCGUUGUCCGGAAUUAUUGGGCGUAAAGCGCGCGCAGGCGGAUUGGUCAGUCUGUCUUAAAAGUUCGGGGCUUAACCCCGUGAUGGGAUGGAAACUGCCAAUCUAGAGUAUCGGAGAGGAAAGUGGAAUUCCUAGUGUAGCGGUGAAAUGCGUAGAUAUUAGGAAGAACACCAGUGGCGAAGGCGACUUUCUGGACGAAAACUGACGCUGAGGCGCGAAAGCCAGGGGAGCGAACGGGAUUAGAUACCCCGGUAGUCCUGGCCGUAAACGAUGGGUACUAGGUGUAGGAGGUAUCGACCCCUUCUGUGCCGGAGUUAACGCAAUAAGUACCCCGCCUGGGGAGUACGACCGCAAGGUUGAAACUCAAAGGAAUUGACGGA
rnacentral:rRNA from 1 species